rnacentral:rRNA from 1 species
UACGUAGGGGGCGAGCGUUGUCCGGAAUUACUGGGCGUAAAGGGUGCGUAGGCGGUUUUUUAAGUCAGAUGUGAAAUACCCGGGCUUAACCUGGGGGGUGCAUUUGAAACUGGGAGACUUGAGUGCAGGAGAGGAAAGUGGAAUUCCUAGUGUAGCGGUGAAAUGCGUAGAUAUUAGGAGGAACACCAGUGGCGAAGGCGACUUUCUGGACUGUAACUGACGCUGAGGCACGAAAGCGUGGGGAGCAAACAGG